GGAGGGCUUGCUGGAGAGCGUUCGCCGCGGCGACAGGUCGAGAGUUCAAAUCUCUUCGGCUCCA
rnacentral:tRNA from 1 species